UACAUACCUUUGAAAAAGUUAAUUAAAAAUUUCAAAUGGAAUCAAUUGCGAUGUUUUUACUGGAAUUCGAAUUGUCUCCCCAUAGAGCGUGAGUCAACACAUCAUCCCAUGUAUUUGCAACAUCUACCCUUAACAAAUAUGGGAGAUCUUCCAAAUGCACGCCGGGGAUGUGUCUGUGGGGAGACUGGAUCUGCUCCUACCACCUGGCGCCUUACAAGCACAUUCUAUCAUGCAUUGGAAACAAUUAUUUGGUUGGACAUAAUAGAAAUCCCAUUCCCAUUUAUGUCUAAACCAAAGAUUAUAGAAAUAGGCCAUUCCAAUUCUAAAUUCAACUGCCAAUCAAAUGGAUCCUAAGAAAAAGAACUCCACAUAUGUCCCCGUGGGUGCACUGGACGCAUGAACCUGCGAAUGAGAAAGUGACACGUCGACCAGGCCAACAUUAACAUCCGUUUGAGUGUUAACGUGGUCUGAUCGGCUAAAUUAGACGGUUCACGCGGAAACGAACCGGUCUGAGACAAAAGGGUCUCUUUCUUCCAUUCUGUUUCCCUGAGAGCUCCUUCCACCGAAGCCUACCCAUACACCAAACCCUUCCUCCAUCAGCGGCGAUAGAGCUCUCGCGGUUCAUUGACGGCAACAAAAAGACCUCCGGCGGUGGCGUAUUCUUCUUCUCCUCUUCUCUUCUUCUACUCUCCAUACAGGGAUUUAGAGAGACUAGAACCUUCAGAUGCACUUGCACCGGCAGAAGGUGCCGUGGAAGCUACUCAAGAGGGAGACACUAGAGGUUCGAAAGAGAGUGUUUGUUUGCCCAUAACCCAACUGCUUGCACCAUGAUCCUUGCCACGCACUCGGCUCCUUGCCACGCACUCGGAGAUCUCGUCAGCAUAAAGAAGCAUUUCAGAAGAAAGCACAACAAUCACAAGCAAGCAGUUGGGCGUGUGGCUGUGCAAAGAAAAAGAAGAAGACCUCUUCUCUGUGUUGCAUAAAAGAACAAGAAGAGGAGGUUGUGCCUGAACGGUAAGGUCUCUGGUGUUUCCACUCCCUUGUCAACUGGAAGAAAAGCCGAACAGACUGCCACCGAGAACACUACGCCGUCUGAAACCCAAACUAGCACCUAGUGCUUCUAGUGUUUCGAAUGGUAAGGUCUCUGGUGCAGAGGCCGCAAACCUUCUAUUCCUCCUCCAUUGUCGCCCCGAACUAGCGCCUAGAACUACCUGAAUGGCAAUGCCUCUGAUGCAGAGGCAAACCCUCUAUUCCUCCUCCAUCAUCGCCCAUGAAAAUGCGAUGGCAUGGACUUCGGCUUCUUCAGGCCAUAAUUUCUGGAUGGAUUUAUAAAUUAGGGCUUUAGCCUCUUCAGGGCUUCAAAAACCAAAAAUCAAAUUCCAUAGAGAGAAGAAUACAUCGCCGCCAGAGGUUUCACUGCGGCCGUCGAUCAAUGGCCGGAACUCUAAGGGAAAAAAAAUCGAAAAAUUUUGUCUGUGUUCCAAAUCGGUUCGUAUAUACACGAACCGGUUCAUUUCCGCGUGAAUCAUCCGAUUGAACCAACCAGACCACGUUGACGCUCAAACGGGCAUUAACAUUGGCUUGGUCGACGUAUCGUUUUCUCAUUCGCAGGUUCACGCGUCCAGUGCACCCACGGAUGCACAGAACGCGGACUCCCAUAACACAUAUGUAGGAGCAUCGCUAGAAUAGACUACAUUUUGAUUUUCCAAAUUAGCAAGCCGGUCAUUAGUCCUGGAUGAGUUGUUUGCAUCGCCAAGGCGGCUUAUCCUUUUGGAGAAGAUAGUCAAUUGCCAUCUUAGAGUCACCUUCAAUCCAUGCUAUCUUUCGUGCUUUCAUUGCUGCCCAACAUUCUGCUACGAUGAUGGAGGAGAUGUCAAUCCGCCACGCUUUUGCCAUUAGAACCUACCCUUUGUGAACUCUUGCUAUACAACCCAAGGAACAUGAGGCAUUCGAUUUUAGGGAUGCAUCAAAGUUUAUUUUAAUGGUUCCCUCUCUAGGAGGUGCCAUUUAACCCUUUUAUUUUAUUGUUGGGAGCUAUUACUUUGCUUUUGUGAUUCACAUUUAUAUAGUCCAAUAGAACUUUGUUGUUAGGUCCACCAUGUUUUCAUCUUUAUUUUGGUAUAUCUUAGGACAUCUACAUUUCCAAAUGUACCAAAGUAGGACACAUUUUUUUUUUCCAGUAAAGUAGCCAUGUUUUGUGAAA